CUUACACGAGCUAGGAGGGGUUACAGCGGGUAGCUAGUAAAAGCCUUGUAAGUAGUGAUAAAUAAGUCGGUGGUCAGUAUACCUGUUUUAGGGAUUACAACUUCAGUUAAUGGCUCAGGCUAUGAGGUCUGAGCCAGUGCUAUAUACAGCUAUAUUAUAAUUUUUCCUAGGGUUAGGGUUACCCGCGGUGUGUAACAAUGUUACAAUUUUUUUUUGGGGGUGGCUAUUAGCGUUAGUUGCUCUAUACAUAUUAACUUUAGGUUGUUAUUUAUGGGUUAAUUAGUAAUUAUAUUAGUUUCUUUUUAUCUCGGACCUGGUCCGACUGUUUAUUAAAAACAUUUCCACCCGUAUAGGUGGGUGGUAUGACCUGCCCUGUGAUUAUUUUAACGGCCGCAGUAUUUUGACUGUGCGAAGGUAGCAUAAUUAAUUGCCCCAUAAUUGGGGGCUUGUUUGAAUGGUCUAACGUGAUCAGUGCUUAAAAUAGGGGCUUUAUUUGAAUUUAAUUAGACGAGUACAGAAUCUGUCGGUGUUUAGUAAGACGGAAAGACCCCAGGAUCUUUGUAUUUUGUCUGGGGCGGAUUUUGUUUUUUCAACAAGUUUGUGACCCUCGGUUUAAAGGAUUAAGUUACCCUGGGGAUAACAGUGUUAUAGUCCAUUAGAGUCCCGAUCGAGUGGACUGAUUGCUACCUCGAUGUUGACUUGGGUGAUAUUAAGGGCGCAGUCGUUUUUGGUAUUGGUCUG
rnacentral:rRNA from 1 species